GGCGAGCGCAGUUAGCGCUCUCAGCUGACCGGGAUGGCUUUGUGAAGUUUGCGUCUAAUAAGCCCUAAGUACCGGAGUCGCCGCUACGACGUAUUUGCAAAGAGCAUCUGGAAAAUUCAGCGGACGGCUUCAUUUUACAGAAGCUUCUGAAGCAGAUAAUGUGUCUCCGUGGUCCCUUCACAUAUGUAAAAAAAAUGUCACAUCGCCGUCCAAAGUGCAACGCACUGGUUGCAAUUUUGUCCAGUGAGCACAUGUGCUCAAAAGAAACGAGCGACAUAUUCAUUACCUGUCGACAUAUCCCAGCCGCUUUGAGACGCGUUUCUAUGACAUUCCUUCGCAGCUGGGCCUCCAGCCAUUGUGUUUGUCGCACGCGUCUAGAAGAUUGGAAGCAUUAGCGUCAUCACUUUAAUAAAUGCUUCUUUCACUACUCGACUAAAA